rnacentral:rRNA from 1 species
AACGUAGGAGGCGAGCGUUAUCCGGAUUUACUGGGCGUAAAGCGCACGCAGGUGGUUUCGUAAGUUGGACGUGAAAGCUCCUGGCUUAACUGGGAGAGGCCGUUCGAUACUGCGGGACUUGAGGUUGGGAGAGGGGUGUGGAAUUCCCGGUGUAGUGGUGGAAUGCGUAGAUAUCGGGAGGAACACCAGUGGCGCAGGCGGCACCCUGGCCCACACCUGACGCUGAGGUGCGAAAGCGUGGGGAGCAAACAGG